rnacentral:rRNA from 1 species
GGAGGAAUAUUGGUCAAUGGGGCGAGAGCCUGAACCAGCCAAGUCGCGUGAGGGAUGACGGCCCUACGGGUUGUAAACCUCUUUUAUAAGGGAAUAAAGGACAUCACGUGUGGUGUUUUGCAUGUACCUUAUGAAUAAGCAUCGGCUAACUCCGUGCCAGCAGCCGCGGUAAUACGGAGGAUGCGAGCGUUAUCCGGAUUCAUUGGGUUUAAAGGGUGCGUAGGUUGCCGAUUAAGUCAGCGGUGAAAGUCAGUGGCUCAACCAUUGAACUGCCGUUGAAACUGGUUGGCUUGAGUACGUACGGGGCAGGCGGAAUGCGUGGUGUAGCGGUGAAAUGCUUAGAUAUGACGAAGAACUCCGAUUGCGAAGGCAGCCUUCUGGGGUGUUACUGACGCUGAGGCUCGAAAGUGCGGGAAUCAAACAGGAUUAGAUACCCUGGUAGU